rnacentral:miRNA from 1 species
CCCUGAGACCCUAACCUUAA